GCGAGGGUAGCUAAGCCUGGCCAAAGGCGCCGGACUUAAGAUCCGGUCCCGAAGGGGUCCGUGGGUUCGAAUCCCACCCCUCGCA
rnacentral:tRNA from 1 species